CAGAGGCCGAGCAAGGCGGGCGGGACCCCCGAGCCGCCUGGGAGUUGUAGUUUCGAGAGAGAAAGACGCGGUCGCACGUGGGCUCUGGUCGCCCCCUCGUGGAGCUCUGUACAACUAAGCGGGGAAAGGCUGAUCGCCGCUUCCCGCCUCGCGUCAGAGGGACUACUGGGUCAGACAAAUCGGUGCACCUAGGACCGCAGGAGCCUACCUACUUUACAGGCUGCUUGCAUGCCCUCCUUCCUUUAUAACCUACCUGUGGCCUUCUCCCCUUUCUGAACAAGCGUGCCACAAAGGAGGCAUCGAAGGUUGAAAUCUGAGCCAGCGGCAGGAGCACUUGGAGGAAAGCACGACUCCCCGCCCCCUCCCUGGGGAUCCACCCAAGUCUGGGGCCCAUCUGAUCUCCUCUUCUAUCUUUAUCCCCACCCCCACCCAUUUCCUCUCACUGGACUGGAAAUACCUGUCUGUGUUGGCGAGCUCCCAGCUUUUGCCCAGGCUCCUCCCUUGUGUGUAUCUUGCUGAAGGCUGAGCUCCUAGGUUGGGGCUGCCAGAGCUUCUUGCUCCAACAACCUAGAGAAAUAAGCCUGGGGGGCGGGGGGGGGGGGGAAUGACAGGCACCCUGACAGGGUAGAUCGAAAGAGAAUGGACGGAGUAUCUGAUGCUUGCAGGGUGCCGCCAGAUCCUGGGGUAGAAGCAUGGUUUACUUUAUCGCUCCUGUAAUCUGCGCUGAGACCCCACGAAGUGGGUGCAGCUUCCUUUAUUAGUGAGAAAACAGCGGCCAGACCAGAAGGAGGAACUUGCCCAAGAUUUCCCAGCUAGGCACAUUCAGGACCCGCGUUCAGAUCCAGCGGAAGUCACUACUAGAAAACUUGCUCCCUACGCGCUCCUCAGCACCGGCAGCCACUUCAUCACCCCUUGGACACUGCAUCCACAGGCAGAAUAAAGCUGCCCUUAGAAAUCUGCUGUGGGGGUGCAGGCUUGCAAUUUGCUUUCCCACCAGGCUCAUGUGAAAUUGUCUAGAUUUAUGUCCCAGUGAGGUCCUCCAGAAGACCCCCAUGGUAGCAACAUACUGUCCUUGCCACAGUCUGACUCCCGUAAAACUCACAUUGAAAUCAUGGUCGGGAGCGAACCCUUAGGGGAGAUUUUAAGCACACAGAUCCGAUCCCAGUGCUGUAGUUGGCCUUCCAUCUCUAGUAAGUCCUGAAAGUGGACUAUUCUUCUAGGGAAACCCAGGGAAGAUGUUCUUUGUGCACAUGGACUUGACUACUGAAUCUGUCUCCGACUCCUUGAAGAGCCUCCUCUUAGAUUGCCCUAGUAGUCCGAUCAUGUGUCCUGCUUUCCUGAAAGCCAGGUACCUCUUCCAAGGCUCUGCAGGGAUCCCAGCCCAUACCAACUUGGUGGAAACAUACGAACUUCAAGAAGCUACUACACCUAUGUCUUCCUUUCGAUUAUGUGGUCUUUGUAGAAUUGAAAUACGGCUCAGAGGAUGAUGGAUAAACACAGUAUCCCAGACCAGGGGGAAAAGACAGAGCGAAACCAAAAUCUCCUGAGAUCUCACCCAGUUCCCUCCUUGGUGUAUCUUAUAUCAGUCACCUCCAUCGAUUUAUUUAUUACUCACCCUGUCCUACGGAUUAAGUUUCUCUUAAACCUGUUCCUCCCCUGAACCCUGGCAGCCGCCUAAGUAAAAUGCAUA
rnacentral:lncRNA from 1 species